GUGAGUAGUUCAGAGUUUGAUCCUGGCUCAGAUUGAACGCUGGCGGCAGGCUUAAUACAUGCAAGUCGAACGGUAACAGCAAAAAGCUUGCUUUUUGGCUGACGAGUGGCGGACGGGUGAGUAAUACCUAGGAAGCUGCCUGAAUGAAGGGGAUAACACCUGGAAACGGGUGCUAAUACCGCAUAAUGCCUAUGGGCCAAAGGGUGGGUAACCACUCGCAUUCAGAUGCGCCUAGGAGGGAUUAGCUAGUUGGUGGGGUAAAGGCCUACCAAGGCGACGAUCUCUAGCUGGUCUGAGAGGAUGACCAGCCACACUGGAACUGAGACACGGUCCAG
rnacentral:rRNA from 1 species